GACAGAAGCAGUCAGAACUGUCCCGCAGCAUUUCCUCUGGAAUCGGAGCCUCUCCUGCAGCCCUGGGAGCUCUCAACCGUUGCCUUCCUCGCACAGCCACAGCUCUGCCGCUGCCUGUUGAGAGCCUGACUGCAGCCGCCUGCAGCACCAGCUGGAAGAAGGCAAUCCUGCGUGUGGGGAGCUCCGCCCGGGGACAAACGUCUCCACGGAGUGAAGGCUUUGCAGUCUUCCUGUAAAUCUUCUAUCCAGGAAAACAGUUGGAUUUCCAUGUGUAGCUGCAGAAUCCUGCCAUGUUAAAAUAGAUUUCUGUUGCCAUCUGGUGGAUAACUGAAGAGGACCUGGAAAACUAGAAUAAAUAUCUAGAUUCACUCCCUCCCCA